rnacentral:rRNA from 1 species
UACGUAGGGGGCAAGCGUUGUCCGGAAUUAUUGGGCGUAAAGAGCGUGUAGGCAGCCAGAUAAGUCCGCUGUGAAAUUUCGGGGCUCAACCCCGAACUUGCAGUGGGUACGGGCUGACUAGAGUGCGGUAGGGGAGACUGGAAUUCCUGGUGUAGCGGUGAAAUGCGCAGAUAUCAGGAGGAACACCGGUGGCGAAGGCGGGUCUCUGGGCCGUAACUGACGCUGAGGAGCGAAAGCGUGGGGAGCGAACAGG